rnacentral:rRNA from 1 species
UCUACGGGGGGCUGCAGUGAGGAAUAUUGGUCAAUGGGCGGAAGCCUGAACCAGCCAAGUAGCGUGCAGGAUGACGGCCCUACGGGUUGUAAACUGCUUUUAUACGGGAAUAACGCGCCUUACGUGUAGGGCUUUGCAUGUACCGUAUGAAUAAGGACCGGCUAAUUCCGUGCCAGCAGCCGCGGUAAUACGGAAGGUCCGGGCUUUAUCCGGUUUUAUUGGGUGUAAAGGGAGCGUAGGCCGGAUGUCAAGCGUACUGUGAAAUGGUCGGGCUCAACCCGGGCCUUGCAGCGAGCACUGGCGUGCUUGAGUCCGCGGAAGGCAUGCGGAAUUCGUCGUGUAGCGGUGAAAUGCUUAGAUAUGACGAAGAACCCCGAUUGCGAAGGCAGCUUGCUGCAGCGGAACUGACGCUGAUGCUCGAAAGCGCGGGUAUCGAACAGGAUUAGAUACCCUGGUAGUC